GUCCCUGUUCUCUUUCCCCACAACAGUAAAAUGGGUCCAUUACAUUGAUGUUAUAAUGUUAACAUGUGAAGACUCACCUCCGCUGCAGGACCCUCUGCAGAUUUGUUGGAACAUCUGCAAGGGAAAAGAUGAAUUCACAAAACAUUCAAGGUGCAGAUAAUGCCAUAAAGUUUUGAGGAAUUAUUUGGUCAGGAAAUGUUGUUCCACAAGCUGUGAUUACUAACAUACAAGCCUAUCCAACCCCUAAGAAGAUAAAAGAAAUGCAAGCCUUUGUAGGGAUUUGGGAAUUUUGGAGGACUUCUAUUCCCUACCUGACACAGUGCCUCUAUCCCUUUAAAAAAAGCGGUGGGGAGGGGGAGAAGCCAAGAUGGAGGAACAGCAUGGAAGGUUUUUUUGCGUCUCUCCUCCUCGAAAUACAACCAGAUUAACACUAAACCAUCCUGCACACCUAGAAAACUGAUUUGAGGAUUAACGCAACAAUUUGCACAAUCUGAACCACAGAACUAAGCAGUGCGGCCAGAUAGUCACCAAACAAGCCACCUCUAUGCCAGUAAAACCUUGCUGACUGCUCAGGGAACAUUGCAAAAGAGCAGUACAUAUAGAAUUAUAAGAGCCAGUCAUAAGAGGUGAAACACUAGAGAAGGUCAUCGAGAGGAUAUGGAUGCCAUUUGACCCAUGAGCUGGACGCAGGCAAUUGAGGCUCUUCCCUGCCCUCCCUGUCGGUGAAAUAUGCAUUCUGCCUGCCUUCCUGCCCUAAAAGCUGCCUCAAGGACACAGACUUGAGAUAGUAAUGUGCUGUUGAGACCAUCUGGGUAUAAUGACUGGAUGUGCCAUCUGGUAGACAUGACUGAACCCAGUUAGGGCGUCUAUAUAAACUUUUAAGGUUCUGACAGGUGGGUGUAAAGAUCUGCUCACUUUGCAGCUGACUAAGCCAACCAUCAUAAAAGCAAGUUCCCUUGCUUAUUAAAACUGCCACCUACCAAUCUGGA